AUUGAACGCUGGCGGCAGGCCUAACACAUGCAAGUCGAGCGAGCGGCGGACGGGUGAGUAAUGUCUGGGAAACUGCCUGAUGGAGGGGGAUAACUACUGGAAACGGUAGCUAAUACCGCAUACCAUCAGAUGUGCCCAGAGGGGAUUAGCUAGUAGGGGGGGUAACGGCUCACCUAGGCGACGAUCCCUAGAUGGUCUGAGAGGAUGACCAGCCACACUGGAACUGAGACACGGUCCAAGCGCGUACGGGAGGCAGCAGUGGGGAAGAUUGCACAAUGGGCGCAAGCCGGAUGCAGCCAUGCCGCGUGUAUGAAGAAGGCCUUCGGGUUGUAAAGCACUUUCAGCGGGGAGGCGUUACCCGCAGAAGAAGCACCGGCUAACUCCGUGCCAGCAGCCGCGGUAAUAC
rnacentral:rRNA from 1 species